AGCUUUUCACACCGCCGCGCAACAGGCUGAAGUUAGAAGGAGCGAUAUUUGCAAAACCUAAAUGUUUAAAGUUACUUUUCUUUUAUUAACCGACGUGUGAGAUCAGUUGAGCGUGUCUGUAACGUCGGGAAGUCUUAACUGGAUGAGACAGCUCCACCACUGAUUCUGGCAGGCACUAGACACUUAAUAUGUUCUAGCUGGGAGCUGAGCUGGCCGAGAAUAUGAGGUUUGCUUCAAGCAUUGGGUUUAAGGUUUUUAUGUUGCUGUUAUUUAUUUAUAGACUUUAUAAGGGUUUAUGUAUUUUUCUUUCUUCCAGAGCUUCCUAAAAAUUGAUUAGCAUCUGCACUGAAAUAUAAUUUUUAACAGCAAAGGCAAAAAAAGAAUUGGAAGUUGUAAAAUUCCUUUAAAAAAAUCACUACAGUGACGAUCAUCCUAGAAAUCGUUGCUCGUGUAGCCGAGACCAAAUAAAUAGAUUUCAGACACAACCUUUAGCUCGGUGAUUUCGGACAGUUUCAGGUUUGUGAGUGAGUGAUCACAAGGAAAAAGCAUCUCUUUAAAAAGCUGGCAAAACGCCGGAACACACUGUGGUAUGAGGCGCGCUGCACGUCUUGGCGCUGAAGCGCCCGUUCCCCUCCUGGGCCGAGAUUCUUUUCCCGUGGCCGUAUCGUUCUGAUUUCACGUGCACCACAGUAACCGAUUUUUUGUUUUGUUUUGUUUUCUUGUGGAGUUAACACCAAAUAAAAAAGUUAAAAAGC
rnacentral:lncRNA from 1 species